rnacentral:lncRNA from 1 species
UGAAGUGCCUGAAGUGCUGCCACCGAAGGAAGUGGUCCCAGAAAAGAAAGUACCGGUGCCUCCUGCCAAAAAGCCAGAAGCUCCACCUCCUAAAGUGCCUGAGGCUCCCAAAGAAGUUGUUCCUGAAAAGAAAGUGCCAGUGCCUCCUCCUAAAAAGCCUGAAGUGCCACCCACAAAAGUCCCAGAGGUGCCAAAGGCAGCUGUCCCAGAAAAGAAGGUGCCUGAAGCUAUUCCUCCCAAACCGGAAAGUCCUCCCCCUGAAGUGCCUGAAGUGCUGCCACCGAAGGAAGUGGUCCCAGAAAAGAAAGUACCGGUGCCUCCUGCCAAAAAGCCAGAAGCUCCACCUCCUAAAGUGCCUGAGGCUCCCAAAGAAGUUGUUCCUGAAAAGAAAGUGCCAGUGCCUCCUCCUAAAAAGCCUGAAGUGCCACCCACAAAAGUCCCAGAGGUGCCAAAGGCAGCUGUCCCAGAAAAGAAGGUGCCUGAAGCUAUUCCUCCCAAACCGGAAAGUCCUCCCCCUGAAGUGCCUGAAGUGCUGCCACCGAAGGAAGUGGUCCCAGAAAAGAAAGUACCGGUGCCUCCUGCCAAAAAGCCAGAAGCUCCACCUCCUAAAGUGCCAGAGGCUCCCAAAGAAGUUGUUCCUGAAAAGAAAGUGCCAGUGACUCCUCCUAAAAAACCUGAAGUCCCACCUGUUAAAGUGCCAGAGGCUCCCAUAGAGGUUGUUCCUGAAAAGAAAA